rnacentral:lncRNA from 1 species
GAAAGGUGCCACACUUGCUUGGCUGACAGUGUCGGGGAGUCCCCUGGGCUCCACACCAGGGCGUGUGCCUUUGGAAAACCACGGUGACUGAAUCAUGUCCCUUUCAGCCAAAACUGGAAGACAGCCCAGCUCCCUGUCUUCAGGUACAGGCAGGGGAGCUCUGUCUGCCCACGCUGAGCCAGAGCCGCUCAAUGCUGUGGGCAGGGCCGGGGCGCUGCUGUCGAGAACACACAGCAGCUCUGCAGCGAGGAGGGUCAGCCCGGGUCUCACCUGAGAGCGGCAGGUCAAGGCGUUGAAGAGAUCGAAAAACACAAAACAAGUGAACGUCAUCGUCGUGGUGCGGGGAGUGCUUGCUCUGUCUUCAGGCAUCUGGAAGAUGUGAGCUGUGGCAGGAGGGCAGGGACUGCAGUCCCCAGCGUCUGCACUGCACCAGGGCUUGGAGAACAGGCUGGGGUGGCCCUCACUCACCUCCUUCCAGAAGAUAAACAGGGUCCCACUGAUGAUGAUGGCCGCGGACAUGAGGAUCUUCAGGAUGAGGGCUCUGCUGAGGAUGGUGUCCCGCACACUCCGUGGUGGCUGCCUGAAGGCGUCUUUGUCAACGGGCUCUACCCCCAAGCUGCUCCAAACAAGACACAGACACUUUGAAAUGAACCAGGAAUGAAAUAAAGGACCCUUGAAACAGCUGUGCCUGAGCCUCCCAGGCCAAGUUGGCACAGGGGGCAAGGCCAGGCAUUUGCUGAACGCCCCCAGGCAUCGCACCUGCCCUCCUCGGCACCUUCCAGAAGCCCCAGAGCCUGGGUCCAUGGGCAGCUGUGCCCCUCCAUCUGUCCCGCAGACAGUGAAGGAAGACCACCCAGUAAGGCCAACCACACACAGUUCCAUACACCCAGAUGAUCUCCAUCACCCCGAGGGGACCCCCCCCAACGUUGCACCUGGA